CAAAUUUUUGUUACAUAGACAAGCACGAUCUCAUGUUUUCGAGUACUAAUUCGCUUUAGAAGAAUCUUGUGGAAUGCUUGAAGCAAUUGAGAGAAUUUUGCUGUUACAUGCUCUCACACCAAAAAAAAAAAGUACAAAAAUUGGUUUAUAUAUUCAUGAAUCAAUCUGCUCAUGCAUUCAUGCAAAUACAUUAAAAAAAUUGUUAUUCAUUUCCAAGCAAGUGAAUCUACGUCAAGCAUGAUUUCCGCACUCAAAUCCCCAAAACAAAUACUCCCAAAUACUUCCCACUGAGCUCAUAAGAUUUGGUCCACGAUACUAACUUCUUUCGGCCAAGCAGGUGAAAUAAUGAAGUUGGGAACACCAUCAUCUUGCGGUCAUCGAUCCUUUUCUCUGCACGAGAACAAGAAAGAGGUCUAGUCUUGAUUCUCCUAAUUAGGACCAUCGAGAAAUCUCAACUCAUAACUGUCCAUUAAUGCAAUGUUAGUAUGUUGGGAUUGGGAGGUAACAAUAAACAAGACAAUUAAAGCACAACGGAAUCAAAAACUCUCCCACCUUAUGUAAACCUGUUAGAAAAUAAAUAACUAGAGCCAAGGCAUUCACAAAUACCUAGCCGAUCAAAUUAUUAGAAACACAAAAGCAACACCAAAUUUUUACGUGGAAAACCUCCCCAAUGUGGAGAGUAAAAACCACGGGACCGUAGUCCACCCAAAAACUUCCACUAUCAACCAAUAAUGGGUAUUACAAUCUGUUCUCUCUAGCCAAACUAGAGGAAUAUAUCAGCACAUAAUCUCAAAAACAAUAUUCUUGGCAAACAUCAACAAUAAGAGAGAAAGAUUGAGAAGAUCUCAUAUGAACAGCAGCCAUAUUUCUGCAAAAUAUGACUAUACUA
rnacentral:lncRNA from 1 species